CGCCCCCCCCACGGUCCCACUCCCCAACCCCCUCGGACAUGACCCUAUCCACCCAUUACCACCCACAGCCACAACUACCCGAAAGUAUAGAAAAAUAUAAAGAUAUACCCGGUGACAGUAUCCAAGCAGCAGCAAGUAAAUACAAAGCUCACACACAUUCAAAGUAAUAUUCCCGAAACAAAACUAAGAAACGACCACAACAACAGCAACAACAGACAACAGACAAGGUACAGGGGCUACUACGAGCAAAAUACUACGGAUG
rnacentral:lncRNA from 1 species